rnacentral:rRNA from 1 species
GACAGGGGGGGCUAACGUUAUCCAACGUUACUGGGCGUAAAGGGUACGUAGACGACUUAUGUUUGGCUUUUAUUGAAAUUCUACAAUGUAGAAGUGAUACUAGCAUCGGUAAGCUCGAGUUUGCGUGAAGAUGAGGGAAUUCCUAGUGUAGAGGUACAAUUCGUUGAUAUUAGGAAGAAAAUUCAAGACGAAGGUGCUCAUCUCUAAAGACUGACGUUGAGGUACGAAGGUAUGGGGAUCGAUCGGG